GCCUUAUCUUGAUGAAGCAUUUUGAAUGAAGUUUUCUAAGAUAAAAUUUCCAUAUAAAAGGCAAAGACGGUCACAGCAAAUCAUUAGUAACGAAAAACUUUCGAACACAAUGAUGACUACGAUGAAAGCCCCCGGGUUGACAUUGCUACUACUGUUCGCAUCAUCAGUUGCAGCCCAAGAAGCAAGUGUAUAUGGUGUAACCCAAGGUAUUAACUGUUUUGGCAAAGAAUAUGUGUGUGUCGGCCCCUUAAAGUACAAGCAUUGUGAAUGGGAUGCUCAAGGUAAUACCUAUGCUGCGGGCAACGUCAUUCAGUGUCCCUCUAACCACCGCUGCGUAAAUGAUGGAGUAGAAAUUUGUAUACCGCUUAAGUUGUCCACAACAGCACCUCAAGCAGCACCCCUAAUCACCUCAGAGCAAGUACCUGUCAACUCGAUAUCUACUGAAGAUCCCAUAAAAAUUAUUCCACUAAAAUGGGAAUCCACGUCUGCAAUACCAGAAACCACAACAGAUGUCGUAGUUAAUAAAGAGCCAUCAAUUAUUCCUGUUGACACAACUACUGCCGCAGAUGGUUCAAUAUGGACGACCUUUUUAACAGAUAAUCCGAACGCCUAUAAUACACUCGGAUCGCAAUUAGCUGACACAAACAUUCCCUUUACCACUAGUUCAGCUCUGGAGACCACAACGAAUGGAAUUAUAGAAACUACGACGUUUCAAGACGGAACAACUAUACCAUCAGACAUUUACACCACAUUGACUCCAAUUACAUCGGAUGACUCCAGUUUACCAGUUAAAUCCAAUAAUCACUUAGAGGCCGGAUCAAUAGUAGAUAUUACGCAUAUUUCUAUAGAUGAAUUAGCUCUAAAAAAUCAAGCUUCUGAAACAACAACAGUUCGAAACAUUCCCUCUGAUCACAAUUUCACGGACAAUUAUUAUUCGACAAUAUCCACGCCUGAAUCUCCAGGUUCAAUAACAGAUAUAUAUCCUGGAGCUACAAUGACAGAAAGUGUAGGGCAAUAUGUGUCUUUUGAAACGAAAACACCAAUAGAUGCAUAUCCCACAAUAUUUCCAGAAGGAUCAACCGGUACUUCUCCAAUAAUCGAACCACUAGAAACAACAACACUAAUAGAACAAACGAUUGCUUUUGAUUCUAAUACGCCAGUUAACCUGAGUGAGUCAAAUAUACAGAAUAAAACUCCCACUGCAGUUCCAAACAGUCCAAUCAAUGGAAAUGUUUCAACUCAUCCCAGCACACUUAUAAGUAAUAGUUUACCAGUUGAGCAUAAUCCGCAAGUGGACCCUAACAUCCCGAUCGAAUUAAGUUCUUCAGCUGAUCCUAAUGCAACUACCACUCCUGUGGAUGAAAUCAAUACAGUUAUUCCAAAUUUUUCGUCUGUUCCUAGCACACCUGCAAGUUCAAGUUUACCAGUUGAACAAAAUUCACCAGUGGACCCUAAAAACCCGAUCGACUUAAGUUCGUCGACUGAUCCUAAUGCAACAACCAUUCCAGUGGAUCAAACCCACCCAAACAUUCAAAGUACUUCAUCGGAUUCUACCAAACCAGCAAGUUCAAGCUUACCAGUGGAACCUAUUUCAUCAGUGGUCACAUCUAAUCUUAGCACACUGACAAGUUCAAACUUACCAGUUGAACAUAAUUCACCAGUGGACCCUAAUAACCUGAUCGACUUAAGUUCGUCAACCUAUCCUAAUGCAACAACCAUUCCGGUGGAUCAAACCUCUCCAAACAUUCCAAGUAUUGUAUCGGAUUCUAGCAAACCAGCAAGUUCAAGCUUACCAGUGGAACCUAUUUCAUCAGUGGUCUCUUCUGAUCUUACCACACUGACAAGUUCAAACUUACCAGUUGAACAGAUUUCACCAGUGGACCCUAAUAACCUGAUCGACUUAAGUUCGUCAACUGAUCCUAAUGCAACAACCAUUCCGGUGGAUCAAACCUCUCCAAACAUUCCAAGUAUUGUAUCGGAUUCUAGCAAACCAGCAAGUUCAAGCUUACCAGUGGAACCUAUUUCAUCAGUGGUCACAUCUAAUCUUAGCACACUGACAAGUUCAAACUUACCAGUUGAACAUAAUUCACCAGUGGACCCUAAUAACCUGAUCGACUUAAGUUCGUCAACUGAUCCUAAUGCAACAACCAUUCCGGUGGAUCAAACCUCUCCAAACAUUCCAAGUAUUGUAUCGGAUUCUAGCAAACCAGCAAGUUCAAGCUUACCAGUGGAACCUAUUUCAUCAGUGGUCACAUCUAAUCUUAGCACACUGACAAGUUCAAACUUACCAGUUGAACAUAAUUCACCAGUGGACCCUAAUAACCUGAUCGACUUAAGUUCGUCAACUGAUCCUAAUGCAACAACCAUUCCGGUGGAUCAAACCUCUCCAAACAUUCCAAGUAUUGUAUCGGAUUCUAGCAAACCAGCAAGUUCAAGCUUACCAUUGGAACCUAUUUCAUCAGUGGUCUCAUCUGAUCCUAGCACACUGGCAAGUUCAAACUUACCAGUUGAACAUAACUCACCAGUGGACCCUAAUAGCCCGAUCGACUUAAGUUCGUCGACUGAUCCUAAUGCAACAACCAUUCCAGUGGAUCAAACCAAUCCAAACAUUCAAAGUACUUCAUCGGAUUCUACCAAACCAGCAAGUUCAAGCUUACCAUUGGAACCUAUUUCAUCAGUGGUCUCAUCUGAUCCUAGCACACUGGCAAGUUCAAACUUACCAGUUGAACAUAACUCACCAGUGGACCCUAAUAGCCCGAUCGACUUAAGUUCGUCGACUGAUCCUAAUGCAACAACCAUUCCAGUGGAUCAAACCAACCCAAACAUUCAAAGUACUUCAUCGGAUUCUACCAAACCAGCAAGUUCAAGCUUACCAGUGGAACAUAUUUCAUCAGUGGUCACAUCUAAUCUUAGCACACUGGCAAGUUCAAACUUACCAGUUGAACAUAAUUCACCAGUGGACCCUAAUAGCCCGAUCGACUUAAGUUCGUCGACUGAUCCUAAUGCAACAACCAUUCCAGUGGAUCAAACCAACCCAAACAUUCAAAGUACUUCAUCGGAUUCUACCAAACCAGCAAGUUCAAGCUUACCAGUGGAACCUAUUUCAUCAGUGGUCACAUCUAAUCUUAGCACCCUGACAAGUUCAAACUUACCAAUUGAACAUAAUUCACCAGUGGACCCUAAUAACCUGAUCGACUUAAGUUCGUCAACUGAUCCUAAUGCAACAACCAUUCCAGUGGAUCAAACCAACCCAAACAUUCAAAGUACUUCAUCGGAUUCUACCAAACCAGCAAGUUCAAGCUUACCAGUGGAACCUAUUUCAUCAAUGGUCUCAUCUGAUCUUAGCGCACUGACAAGUUCAAACUUACCAGUUCAACAUAAUCCACCAGUGGACCCUAAUAACCUGAUCGACUUAAGUUCGUCAACUGAUCCUAAUGCAACAACCAUUCCAGUGGAUCAAACCAUUCCAAACAUUCCAAGUAUUUCAUCAGAUUCCAGAAAACCAUCAAUUUCAAGCUCACCAGUGAAACCUACUUCAUCACUGGUCUCAUCUGAUCCUAGCACACUGGCAAGUUCAAACUUACCAGUUGAACAUAAUUCACCAGUGGAUCCUAAAAUUCCGAUCGAUAUAAGUUCAUCAACUGGUCCAAAUACAAUAAGCAUUCCAGUAAAUCAAACUAAUACAAUUAUUCCAAGUGCCUCAUCUGAUCCUAGCAAACCAGUUAGCUCAAUGUUUCCAGUUGAACAUAACUCACCAGAAGACAUUAUAAUCGAAUCAAAGGAUGCAAACAAAGCAAAAGAUGCGAAGACUCCAUCUGAUCCUAGUGCACCAGAAAGUUCCCUUUUACCAGUUGAGCAUAACUCCCCAAUAGACUCCAAUAUCCCUAUCGAGUUAAGUGGAAAGCCUAAUGCAGCAAACAUUCCAGUGGAAAAACCCAAACCAAUUAUUCCGAGUACUUCAUGGGAUCCCAACUCCCCAACCAUUUCAAGCUUACCAGUGAACCCUGACAUCUCAGUCGAAUUAAAUGCAUCAAUUGAUCCUAAUACAGCAACCAUUCCAAGUAUUGCAUCGGAUCCUAGUCCAGCAAUUUCAAGGGCACCAGUGGAGUCUAAUUCUAGCCCAUCGGCAAAUCCUAGCUUAGUAUUUCAGCAUAACUCCCCCUUAGAUGAUACAAAUCAAUUUACAGUAAGUUCGCCAGUAGCAUCUGCAAACCCAAUUUUGCAAGUUGAACUGAAAGUACCAGUAUUAACGGAGGAAGUGGUAGAAAAUUAUGCCCCGUCUAGGAAUCAACCAGGUGUACCAAAGGCACCAGUUACUUCAAACUCACCUGUUAAUACUAGGGGAUCAAUCAGUCACACUAUUUCAACAAAUCUUGACCAUGUGAAGCCGAAGUCCUCAACAGUGAAUCCUAACACACCGAUUAGUCCAAACAUUCGAAUCGAUUCUGAUACAAGCCAACCAGCGAAUAUUAAUAUUCCAACCGAUUCUAGCGCUUCAGCAGGACCAAACAAACUUUUUGACCAUACGUCAGCAAUCCAUUCUAGUGAUUUACAUACUGGCCUUACGAAAUGGUAUCUGUACUCUCGUAGUAAGGGAAGCAAUACGAAUGAAGAAGCAAAUAAUGGUAUGGUGUUUUUACCAAAGCACCCACUUGGAUCUCGACGGCCUACAUCGACCAAAAAGCCUAACCAUCAAGAAACUAUAGAAGCAGAAUCAAGUGAAGCAAACUCUUCUAAAUCUGUGCUUAAAGAAGAUGGCUCCAUUGAAGAAACAUCAAACAGCAAUAGCAAAAAGUCGAAGAAGCAAAAGAAUUCCAGGAACAAUAAGCGUAAAGAAGAAACAGUAGAGAAGGAAACAGUAGAAAAAGAAUCAAGUGAAAUUUCUUUACCUGAAAAACGUCAAAACAAUAAUACAUCGGUGGAAAACAAAUCUGGGACAAAUAGUAAAGAAUCCAAAGAUAGUAAGGACUUCCAAGAGGAAAACGUUAAAAUUGAAAGCAAGCCCGAUGACGAAGAUGACGAAAGUGCAUCAAGCGAGCAGAAGGAAUUAAUUAAGAAAAUCUUAAAGAAAAUCAAAGACAGCAAAUGUGACGAAGAUGACGUAUAUCCAGACCCUAAAGAUUGCAAAAAAUACUACCGAUGUGUGAAAAAGAAUCACAAAACAAAGAUCACUCAUCUUCGUUGCGAAAGUGGUGAUCGUUUUGACUCAGACAAACUAAAAUGUGUAGACAAACGGAAGGCCAAAUGCUUUUCCAAAGAAGAUUUCAUAGAAGAGUUCGCUUGAAUCCCGAAACAAAAGCCGUCGUCAAUACAGUCCACUUUUGUAAAGAUAGUCCGAAAUCGAUUAAUUCUUAUUCUAUAGACAACUUACGCAUACCUUACCUAUUUUCGAAAACUUAAAACCUGUACCUUCGCUAAGUGAUAAUUUUCAAAGUGUAUUCAACAAAGUGAACUAAGUAUUUGACAUACCCUUCUUUGACAAUAAAAUAGUAAACAAUUCAAGUAUUUGUUUACAUUAACCCGACUUUUUUUAUCUUGAACAAUAUAAUAUAGAUUGAUAAAAUUUGUUGCAAUUUGUCAGUUAGAGCACAAAACAUUGGUACAUUUCUUCCAUGAGUUGUUUUCCACAAGCAGAAAGUAUUCGACAUCUUAUUUUAUUCAUUAAAAAUAUAUAUAUUUUUUUUUUGUUUGAAAUUUGUUUACUUUUGAAUUUCAAAAUUUAAAACAAAGGCAAAUUCGGGUAAAGAAAAAUUAAUUGUCAUAUACUUAGUUCACUUUGUUGAAUAUACUUUGAUAAUUUAUAGAUCUGGCAAGUUAUCGAUUUCGAUUGUCAAUUCUAGUUUGUUCUGGUGUCAUUUUCGUUACAAUAUGUAAAUUUUUUGACAGACGAGCAGCGCCCAAAGAUAGCGAGCAGAGAAGUGGCGAAUAUACUUGGCUGGCGUCAUGCUUAUGUUAUAAUACAUAGAUGUAAUCGAUUGGUCACUUCUCUGCUCGCUAUCUUUGGGCGCUGCUUGCUUGUCACAUCAGCAGCACAAGCGACUCAAAGGAAAAUUUUUUAACAAAAAUGACAAUUCGAAUUUAUAUUUUUGUUGUUUUAACUUUGGAGUACAUUUUAAUUGAUUAAAUAAAACCUAAUGCAUAACCUCAGCUCGAAACAAAGGGAUAAAAAAAUAUUUUUACGCAGAUUUAAGUACAGUGGAACUUCUCUAACUCGAAUCACCAUAAUCCACAAAAAAACUUCGAGUUAGAGAGACUUCGAGUUAUAGAAUUUUUCAUUACAAAAUAAAUAUUUUUAAAAAGCUUUAAAAUGUA